UUGACUCACGCGGGAAUCUUACCGGGUCCGGACACACUGAGGAUUGACAGAUAUACGCUGCGUUGCUCUCGAGCACGUGGCUCAAAGAUGCUAGUUCUUUCAUGAUUAUGUGAUAGGUGGUGCAUGGCCGUUCUUAGUUCGUGGAGUGAUCUGUCUGCUUAAUUGCGUAUCAAUAAUAGAGACCUAGUAUACGCGUAUUACUCGUGUGGUAGUGACCCCCUUCUCACGGAGGCGCGUGUCGCACAUACGGUAUACGCACUGGUCUCAGAUAGCAACGAACGUGACCGUAUUCUAUUGUUGCAGUGAAUUAUACGUGUGCUUUACAGCAUACAUUCCCACUGCUUAGUGUGCGCUGCCAGUACUUGUUGC
rnacentral:rRNA from 1 species